rnacentral:rRNA from 1 species
UACGUAGGGUGCGAGCGUUAAUCGGAAUUACUGGGCGUAAAGCGUGCGCAGGCGGUUUGGUAAGACAGAUGUGAAAUCCCCGGGCUUAACCUGGGAAUUGCAUUUGUGACUGCCCGGCUAGAGUGUGUCAGAGGGGGGUAGAAUUCCACGUGUAGCAGUGAAAUGCGUAGAUAUGUGGAGGAAUACCGAUGGCGAAGGCAGCCCCCUGGGAUAACACUGACGCUCAUGCACGAAAGCGUGGGGAGCGAACCGG